UAGGAGCUUGAGUCUGGAAGCUGGUUCUGAUGCAUAUUAGUAGGAAGAAGAGGGAGUAAAACUCCUGGGGAAUUGCUAGCUACUUGAUAUUCAGCAGGGAAAGGGCUUUUGGCUAUUACUGCUGGACUUACUUUGACAGAGUGACAUAGAGAUUUCGAGAUUCCCUUGGAUUUCUUCAUUUAGCAGUAUGAGGAGACUUAAUUUUUUUUUUUUUUGGUUUUAUUUAGGUAAUUGGGGUUAAGUGACUUGCCCAAGGUCACACAGCUAGCAAGUGAGGAGACUAUUGACAUCCUGACAAUGAUCAUUGACAAGAGGAUAACCCCAACUCCUGUCCUUACUUGCCAAAAGAUAUAGUAGAUCUAUGGGAUAUUUGCUGGACUGAAAAUGUGAAUGGAUAUCCAGAGCUGGAAAUGAUGAGGUUAUGACCUUGUGAGCUUUGACAGGUCAAAGGGUCUUCAGAGGUCCUAUCAACAACAGGGGUCAGUAGCAGAGACCAGCAGCAGAAGGGUGAACAACCUGCUUGACCCAGCCUAGCCCGGACUGACCCGUCAGCAGAGCCAGUCCAAUCCACCAAAACAAUUUGUCCAUUGUGAUGUCGCAUGGAGUGAGUUUGUUGGAGGUUCUGCAAAGUGAGAAAAGCAUUCCAGGGCCUGGAGGCAGGACAGCGGGGCUUCACGUUAUCCAUGUAUAUUGCCUCAUAAGCCAGUGAUCCUCUCCCUAAUCCAGUCUGGCUACUGACUCCCUGGUUUCCCUUAAAUCCUAAAUAAAAUCCCACCUUCUACAGGAAGCUCUCCUAAGCCUUCUAAA